UACCUGGUUGAUCCUGCCAGUAGUCAUAUGCUUGUCUCAAAGAUUAAGCCAUGCAAGUCUAAGUACGAGCUCUCGUACAGUGAAACUGCGAAUGGCUCAUUAAAUCAGUUAUGGUUCAUUUGAUCGUACAGUUUACUUGGAUAACUGUGGUAAUUCUAGAGCUAAUACAUGCGAGAAGCGCCGACCUCGCGGGAGGCGUGCAUUUAUCAGACCAAAAACCGGCCGCGUCUUCGGGCGCGUUCGCCUUGGUGACUCUGGAUAACUUUGCGGAUCGCACGGUCUAGCACCGGCGACGGAUCAUUCAAGUGUCUGCCCUAUCAACUUUCGUCGGUACGGUAUUUGCCUACCGAGGUUCUUACGGGUGACGGGGAAUCAGGGUUCGAUUCCGGAGAGGGAGCCUGAGAAACGGCUACCACAUCCAAGGAAGGCAGCAGGCGCGCAAAUUACCCAUUCCCGACGCGGGGGAGGUAGUGACGAAAAAUAACAAUGCAGGACUCGUUCGAGGCCCUGUAAUUGGAAUGAGUACACUUUAAAAGCUUUAACGAGUAUCCAUGGAGGGCAAUGUCUGGUGCCAGCAGCCGCGGUAAUUCCAGCUCCAAAAGUAUAUAUUUAAGUUGUUGCGGUUAAAAAGCUCGUAGUUGGAUUUUGGGCGCAGGCGGCCGGUCCGUCGCAAGGCGUGUACUGGACGUCCUGGCCUUCCCUCCGGUUCUCCGCCGGUGCUCUUGACUGAGUGUCGGCGGCGGCCGGAACGUUUACUUUGAAAAAAUUAGAGUGUUCAAAGCAGGCUCUCGAGCCUGGAUAAUGGUGCAUGGAAUAAUGGAAUAGGACCUCGGUUCUAUUUUGUUGGUUUUCGGAGCGCGAGGUAAUGAUUAAGAGGGACAGACGGGGGCAUUCGUACUGUGCCGUUAGAGGUGAAAUUCUUGGAUCGGCGCAAGACGAACGACUGCGAAAGCAUUUGCCAAGAAUGUUUUCUUUAAUCAAGAGCGAAAGUCAGAGGUUCGAAGACGAUCAGAUACCGUCCUAGUUCUGACUAUAAACGAUGCCAACUAGCGAUCGGGGGGCGUUACAUUGACGACCCCUCCGGCAGCUUACGGGAAACCAAAGUCUUUGGGUUCCGGGGGAAGUAUGGUUGCAAAGCUGAAACUUAAAGGAAUUGACGGAAGGGCACCACCAGGAGUGGA
rnacentral:ncRNA from 1 species